ACUUAUGGUGACUGCGACGGUUCUCCUUCGGGAGACAAUAGGGAAUGCGGUGCGGAGCUUCCUCCAAAGCCGCGGCUGCCCCCGCAACUGUAAGCGGCGAGCCUUUCGUUCAUUGGCCACUGGGUCUUCGGACCUGGGAAGGCGAUCGGAAAGGCGAUGACCCGCGAGCCAGGAGACCUGCCGUCAGUCGUGGUCACGA
rnacentral:ncRNA from 2 species